GACGAACGCUGGCGGCGUGCUUAACACAUGCCAGUCGAACGGUGAAGGGACCGGUUUUUGCUGGUUCUGGAUGAGUGGCGAACGGGUGAGUAACACGUGAGUAACCUGCCCCCUUCUUCUGGAUAACCGCAUGAAAGUGUGGCUAAUACGGGAUAUUCUGCGCCUGCUGCAUGGUGGGUGUGGGAAAGAUAUUGUUUCGGUGGGGGAUGGGCUCGCGGCCUAUCAGCUUGUUGGUGGGGUGAUGGCCUACCAAGGCGGUGACGGGUAGCCGGCCUGAGAGGGUGGACGGUCACACUGGGACUGAGACACGGCCCAGACUCCUACGGGAGGCAGCAGUGGGGAAUAUUGCACAAUGGGCGCAAGCCUGAUGCAGCGACGCCGCGUGAGGGAUGGAGGCCUUCGGGUUGUAAACCUCUUUCGCCAGUGAAGCAGGCCUGUCCCUUUUGUGGGUGGGUUGACGGUAGCUGGAUAAGAAGCGCCGGCUAACUACGU
rnacentral:rRNA from 1 species